GACGAACGCUGGCGGCGUGCCUAAUACAUGCAAGUGGGACGCAAGGAAACACACUGUGCUUGCACACCGUGUUUUCUUGAGUCGCGAACGGGUGAGUAACGCGUAGGUAACCUGCCUAUUAGCGGGGGAUAACUAUUGGAAACGAUAGCUAAUACCGCAUAAUAUUAAUUAUUGCAUGAUAAUUGAUUGAAAGAUGCAAGCGCAUCACUAGUAGAUGGACCUGCGUUGUAUUAGCUAGUUGGUAAGGUAAGAGCUUACCAAGGCGACGAUACAUAGCCGACCUGAGAGGGUGAUCGGCCACACUGGGACUGAGACACGGCCCAGACUCCUACGGGAGGCAGCAGUAGGGAAUCUUCGGCAAUGGACGAAAGUCUGACCGAGCAACGCCGCGUGAGUGAAGAAGGUUUUCGGAUCGUAAAGCUCUGUUGUAAGUCAAGAACGUGUGUGAGAGUGGAAAGUUCACACGGUGACGGUAGCUUACCAGAAAGGGACGGCUAACUACGUG
rnacentral:rRNA from 1 species